AUGAUCACCUCAGUCUCUUUGUGUUUCAGGCACCUCUGGGGUAUCUCUUGCCACAACAGUUGCCCCUGGAAGUUUCAGCACAGCAGCCACAACUUCUUCUGGAGCAAGUGGAAUAACUGGGGCUGGCCCCACCUCAGAGACCACAACUUCCCUAGGAGGAAGUGGUACCACUGGAGCAGAAAUAAAAUCAGCUGCAGUGCCCUCUGGUACAACAGUUGCCCUUGGGAGCUCCAACUCAGGUAAAGCACCAGGCUGGGAGGAACCAGUGCUUGGGAAGGGCUCCUCAGUGAGUUGUCUGCCUGGGUGAUCCUACCAUACUCUUCUCAGAUUCUUCAAAUCUUUGUCCUCACUGUUAUUCCUCUUCUCUCAUUUGCAGAAGCCACAACUUCUGUAGGAGAAAAUGGAAAAACAAGAGGUGAAAUAAUCACAGGUGAGCUCCGUUAAGGAACUAAGUGUACUUUGUAAUAACUUCCCAUGUCUCACU
rnacentral:lncRNA from 1 species